rnacentral:rRNA from 1 species
AUUGAACGCUGGCGGCAGGCCUAACACAUGCAAGUCGAACGAGUGGCGGACUGGUGAGUAAUGGCUGGGAAACUGCCUGACGGAGGGGUAUAACUACUGGAAACGGUAGCUAAUACCGCAUACAUCAGAUUUGCCCAGAUGGGAUUAGCGUGUUGGUGGGGUAACGGCUCACAAAGGCGACGAUCCCUAGCGGGACUGAGAGGAUGACCGGCCACACUGGAACUGAGACACGGUCCAGACUCCUACGGGAGGCAGCAGUAGGGAAUAUUGCGCAAUGGGCGCAAGCCUGAUGGAGCCAUGCCGCGUGAGUGAAGAAGGCUUUCGGAUUGUAAAGUACUUUCGGCGGAGAAGCGGUACCCAAAGAGGAAGCACCGGCUAACUCCGUGCCAGCAGCCGCGGUAAUUC